rnacentral:lncRNA from 1 species
CUCCUACUCUUAUCUAGGGUAUAUUUUCUAUUCAUGACAUUUUAUUCACGAUUCUUUUACUUGUAAGUUAGAUGUUAGGCCUAAACCUUUAAAUGAAGUAUUAGCAGUAGAAACUCUCUCUAGAGGUUCAUUAUAAGCUCAUUGUGUGUAUAAAAAUUAUAAAAUAAAAGCUUCAGGAGUAGAACUAUUAGUAGACCUUAUACUUUUAGAUUUUCAAGAUUUGAUGUUAUCCUAAGUAUGUAUUGGU